UGAAUCGUAUGAUCGGUGAUUUAUACAUGGGGUUGCAUAUUGAUUGAGUUUUGUAGAGUGAAACCAACGCAAUUAUUUUUAUAUUGAUAUCCUUCGGUAGAUAAACCGUAAAUAAAUUGGUAUGGCAAUGCAACUCUUUGAACCAAAAUCGUGUGCGGUGUGUUUUUAUUUUUAUUCAUUUUAUUAAAUGAGAGAUUGAAGAAUCAAAAUCGUUUACAAAUAUUGUUUUAAGAAUUUUGUCAAGCACAUGGUUUUAUAUAUGACUAGUUUUGUGUACUAGUUCUAUGUUCAAUUCAGUCAUAUAUUUUCUUGUUGAAAAUUCAAAUUGAUCAAAAGGCACUAUUUUUUAAACAAAAUUUCUUGAGGAAUUCGGUUGUUUGAUGCAUCAUAAUUCAC
rnacentral:lncRNA from 1 species